GUAUACAGCAAUGUGAAAUUUACUUAAAUCUCCUUCAACUUGUAUUCAUUUUGCUAACUCUGGAUCAAUAUUUUAACAUCAGCUUUUAAAAAGCAGAUCUCAAUAAAUACUAUCUCAUCCGAAUGCCUGCAUUUUUCAAUUUUAUAUUGAAAGGGUAAUACUGAGUUAUCACUUCUACUCAUCAUAUUAUCCUAAAACAGGGUUUUUUAAAAUGUGAUCUAUGCAGGAGGUCCCUGAAACCCUUUUUGGGAUCUAUUAGGUCAAAACUAUUUCAUACUAAUACUAAGAUAUUAUUUUCCAUUUUAUACUGAUUUUCUCAUGAGAGUACAGUAAAAUAUUCCAGAGGCUACAUUUUAUCAGGUGAAUCGAUUAAGUGAUCCAUGUGCAGGAUGGCACUCCCUCCAUCACACAACCCCAAUUGGAAUCAUGAAGCUGAUCUUUUCAACAAGUGGAGGGUGGUGUGAUAGAAAUUGAUCAGACUGUUAAGCCAGGAAGGCCUAUAUUUCAGAUUCAGCCUUGCCGCUUGCUAGCUUUGUGAUAUUGACAAGUUCAUUUUAACCACCCUGAACCUCAGUUUCCUUUCUGUAAAACUGAGAAAAGCAAUGGAUAUGGUGAAGAACAGGUAUGAGGCUAUAUGUAAAAAAAGUCCUAGCACAUUAACUGUCACAUAGUAGGCAAGUAAAUACAGUAAAGAUUGUAGAGCUAAUCAGGUAGAUAUUUUGUUAUUUUAUACAAGGGUAUCUAUUGAUAUACGGAGUUUAACGAAAGCUGGAGGAGAAAAACUAAAUUUGCUUAAGAAAUCUAAGAACUUGAUAUAAUAAAUGAGAUAAAAAAAUCCCAAUUCCCCUUUCAAGAGAAGAAGUUUUGAAUUUCUCUAGAUAGACUAGAAUAACAGAAUCAUACAUGUUAAAUAACGUUAAUGGUUGGACUUUCCAGAUUUGGGGAAUGAUAAUAGUAAAAAUGACUUCUGAACCCAAUGACAGUAGCAGUCAUGGAAUCAUCCAGAAUUUGAAGAAAAUGUCUCAGUUCAUCUCAAGCUACUAAGCAAAAGCAAAUACAAAAUCAAUUAACCACUACCUUGAGAGGUUUGUUGGCUGGAAGACAGGGGUGGUGUGAGCAGAGGUUAACACUGGACUUCAUGCUAAUUUUGAUAGAUGAGUUCUUUAGUGUUAUAAUUUAUCACCCUAUUGGGUACCCCAACUAAAAAGGAAUAUUGAAGGAAAAUUAGGCAAGUACACAUGGGAUAUUACAACUUUUGUUCUAUGGCACAACCCAUUUUUUCCAAAGACAAUUUUAGUAAUAUUAGAUUACAGCCAGUACUAUCUGCUCAUUUUCUUGUGUGUUAUUUGAGAUUACCCUGUAAGGAUGCAGCAUGAAAAUGGAACUUGACUUGCCCAAUCUUACUGGUGCUGAGAAAGCAACUUAUUGGUAUUGUGAUCAGGAAGUGAUUGUAGACACCUUAAUCACUAAAGCACUACUUAUGUGAUUCUCUGUGAUGUUUUCACAGCCAUUCAAAUGAAGUUUCAUUGAAAGUUAUUGAGAAUGUGAAAAGUAUUCUGCAAAAAGAAAUAUUUUAAAAUCGUAUUUCUUAAGUGGCAUAUCAAGAUCAAUGUAUUAGAUAGCUCUUUUAGACUAGAUUUUUGUCUAGAGCAACUUACAUAGAUUAACUCUCAAAACUAGAAAUUAUUCAUCCUCUUACUGAUGACAUUACUAUAUUAGGCCAGUCUCACAUUGCUAUAAAGAAGUACCUGAGUCUGGGUAAUUCAUAAAGAAAAGAAGUUUAAUUGGCUCAUGGGUCUGCAGGCUGUACAGGAAGCAUAGUGACAUCUGCUUCUGGGGAGGCCUCAGGAAGCUUCCAGUCAUGGCAGAAGGCAAAGCGGGAGCAGGCACAUCACAUGAUGAAAGAGGAGCAAGAGAGAGCGAGUGGGAAGGUGGUAAACUUUCUUUUUUUUUUUUUUUGAGACAGAGUCUUGCUCUGUCACCCGGGCUGGAGUGCAG
rnacentral:lncRNA from 10 species